rnacentral:rRNA from 1 species
AUUGAACGCUGGCGGCAGGCCUAACACAUGCAAGUCGAGCGAGCGGGGGACGGGUGAGAAAUGUAGGGGAAUCUGCCUGAUAGAGGGGGAUAACUAGUGGAAACGGUGGCUAAUACCGAAUACUCUCAGAUGAACACAUAUGGGUUUCUCUUGUAGUGGGUGUAAAGGCUCACUUAGGCGACUACCUCUAGCUGGUCUGAGAGGAUGAUAAGCCACACGGGAACUGAGACACGGCCCAGACUCCUACGUGAGGCAGCAGUGGGGAAUAUUGCACAAUGGGCGCAAGCCGGAUGCAGCCAUGCCGCGUGUAUGAAGAAGGCCUUAGGGUUGUAAAGGACUUUCAGCGGGGAGGCGUUACCCGCAGAAGAAGCACCGGCUAACUCCGUGCCAGCCGCCGCGGUAAUAC